GGCCGCAACCUGGUCUUCCAGCCGCGCUUCCGCGGGAUUUUCUUUUGUCGCGAUGCCAGCUCUUCUAAGUGCCUCAGAACUCCGAGAAUCUGCAAACAUCUCUCUUCUUGCACAGCUGUCUGUUCUCUCUCGGCAGCCGCCCGACACUGGGGCUGCACGGCCUUGCUUCUUCACGGACAUGUGGAGAUGGAUGGAAACUUCUCCUGUGGUCAGCACCUUGGAUUCUACAGCAGCCAGCCAGCUGGUCCCUCCCCUACACUGCCUCUCCAGCUCUCCCUGCUGCCAGUGCAGAGCCCUGCUGUUCUGGUCUGUGCCACAUGCUGGCAGACAAAUGCCACAUUGAAGACAAUCAAUAAUAGUUGGCACAACAGAUAAAACAGACACGCUCCACCACUUUUAGGAGAUCUCCAAUCCUUUUCCUAGAGGACUUCUAAUGAGGUGUGCAUAAACUGGAGCUGUCUAUUAGGAACGCCCGUGUGAUAUCAGCUUGCGUGGGAGAACCUGGUGCUGGAGCCUGAGUGCUUUGUUUGCCUCCUCAGUUCUCACCAAGCCUGACAGUCUGUACCCUGGGGAGAGCUUGGAUCUGAGUGCACUGAGUUUUUUCUCAGUGAUGAUCCUAUUGGUGUUGUCCAGGAACUCUAGGAGCAGAAAAUGGAGACUGAGGCCACCAGAGGAAGUGUAAUUGGAGCUGUGGCUGUCCCUGCAGGCUGCUCAGAGCAUUGGGGACUGCUCUUCACCCUGGGAAGAAUUUGGAUCCACACUGGCCCUAACCUGUUCCUCCAGCCCAGCCUGCCCACCCCCUGACAGCACAGUUAGCUCAUCAGUGGGCGGAUUCACGGAGGAGCACAAGGCCUCCUGACACAGUCGCCUUCCAAAUGCAUGUGAACUUAGGAGAACAUUUUAGGUCUAAAUGAUCGCAGAGUAUGUGCCUUUCUGAAGAAAAGGUAUUUUAGUGUUUUUGUGUUCCAAGUUAAAAAACUGUCACUACCAAAGAAUUAGGAUUAUAGACUUUGAUUUGUAAAAUAAUACAAUUAAGUACAGUAGGUUUAAAGGUUACUUGUAUUUGGAUAAUACUAGGCAUUUUAAAAUAAAACUCCCUCAAAGUGGAGUUCAUUGGGGGAAUUAGAAACUGUUGCCACGUAAAUAAAAUUGUGUGUUUUAGAA